GCCGAAGUGGCGGAACUGGCAGACGCGCUACGUUCAGGGCGUAGUGAUCGUAAGGUCUUGAGAGUUCAAAUCUCUCCUUCGGCACCA
rnacentral:tRNA from 3 species